rnacentral:rRNA from 1 species
AAGUUUGAUGGCGACCGGCGCACGGGUGAGGUAACACGUAUCCAACCUGCCGAUGACUCGGGGAUAGCCUUUCGAAAGAAAGAUUAAUACCCGAUGGCAUAGUUCUUCCGCAUGGUAGAACUAUUAAAGGAUUUCGGUCAUCGAUGGGGAUGCGUUCCAUUAGGUUGUUGGCGGGGUAACGGCCCACCAAGCCUUCGAUGGAUAGGGGUUCUGAGAGGAAGGUCCCCCACAUUGGAACUGAGACACGGUCCAAACUCCUACGGGAGGCAGCAUG